rnacentral:ncRNA from 1 species
UGUCUUCAGGGCAGGGUGCAAUUCCCGAUCGGCGGUAUAGUCCGCGAGGCCAUAAAUCUUGGUCAUGAUUUGGUGCGAUUCCAAAACCGACAGUAUAGUCUGGAUGAGAGAAGAUA